UUUCAAAAUCUGGUUGUCAUGCUAUUAUGGAAUGGCACCACACUAAUGCAAAUCAAGCCCAAGCCCAAACCAGCCACUAUCCAGAUGACUCUAUUCAAUGGAAUAAAAUGAUAUUUUCUCUAUAGGCCCCCCACGUUUCUUUUAUACCCCCCCUACAUAUGUUUUUGCCCCUGCACGGUGUUUCGGGUUAUACGAAUCGAACUUUAAAAAAUUUCGGUUAAUAGAAAUCGUUCGCUUUUUUCUUCGAGCUUUGUUAACCGAAGUUAACUGAUAUAGAAACAGAAGUUUAACUUCUCAUUUCAGUUACGUUUUUUCUCCUAAACACAUCCAACACUACUCCUUCAUCCUCUUGUGUGCGAUUUUAUGGAAAAUUUUAACAUCCUACCUCAAACCAUUCUUAAUCAAGAUAAAUAUGGAAGAAAAUAUUGGGAGAGGUAGGCAUGGAAAGGCAAGCAAUGCAAAUGCUUCCGCUCAUAGAGAGCUUGCUGCAAAUCGCCCUGCAAAACGAGGUCGUAGUAAGCAGCAAGGACCAACUCCGGCGCGAGGAACACAUGAUGCUGAGGCAAGUGGUUCGCGUACGCGUACACGGUCACGUUUAAGCCAAGCACAAAAUGCUGAUGAUCAGUUUGACGCGGAUCAAUUUAUAAAUCAGGAUGCCGAGUAUGGCGAACCUGAAGAACCCAACAGCCACCACGACAGACACCGCAACAGCCACCACGGCAACCACGACGAGAUGCAGCAAAUGAGGGUUACGGAGGAGGACCAAGUGAUAUGUCCUUAUUAACACAAUACGGAAAUCAUAGGGCGGUUCCGAUAUGGGAUGCAGCACCAGAUGAUCACGAGGUUUUAAAGAGGACUUUGCGUUGCCAAGCUAGCGG